UACGGGGGGAGCAAGCGUUGUUCGGAUUUACUGGGCGUAAAGGGCGGGUAGGCGGCCACCGCAAGUCAGUUGUGAAAUCUCCGGGCUUAACUCGGAACGGUCAACUGAUACUGCGGGGCUAGAGUGCGGAAGGGGCAACUGGAAUUCUCGGUGUAGCGGUGAAAUGCGUAGAUAUCAAGAGGAACACCUGCGGCGAAGGCGGGUUGCUGGGCCGACACUGACGCUGAUGCGCGAAAGCCAGGGGAGCGAACGGG
rnacentral:rRNA from 1 species